AGAGUUUGAUCAUGGCUCAGGAUGAACGCUGGCGGCGUGCCUAACACAUGCAAGUCGAACGAAGCACAUGCCUGGAACCCUCCGGGGGGAAGGGCAUAUGACUGAGUGGCGGACGGGUGAGUAACGCGUGGGCAACCUGCCCCGCACUGGGGGACAACAGCCGGAAACGGCUGCUAAUACCGCAUAUGCGCACAGCUUUGCAUGAAGCAGUGUGGAAAACUCCGGUGGUGCGGGAUGGGCCCGCGUCUGAUUAGCUGGUUGGCGGGGCAACGGCCCACCAAGGCGACGAUCAGUAGCCGGCCUGAGAGGGUGGACGGCCACAUUGGGACUGAGACACGGCCCAGACUCCUACGGGAGGCAGCAGUGGGGGAUAUUGCACAAUGGGGGGAACCCUGAUGCAGCGACGCCGCGUGAGCGAAGAAGUACCUCGGUAUGUAAAGCUCUAUCAGCAGGGAAGAAAAUGACGGUACCUGACUAAAAAGCCCCGGCUAAAUACGUGCCAACCGCCGCGGUAAUACGUAUGGGGCAAGCGUUAUCC
rnacentral:rRNA from 1 species